GCGCCCGUAGCUCGACGGAUAGAGCAUCUGACUACGGAUCAGAAGGUUGGGGGUUCGAAUCCCUCCGGGCGCACCA
rnacentral:tRNA from 1 species